GCCGAGGUAGCUCAGUUGGUAGAGCAUUCCGCUGAAGCCGGAAGGGUCCCCGGUUCGAGCCCGGGCCUCGGCACAA
rnacentral:tRNA from 3 species